ensembl:piRNA 21ur-7735 ncRNA
UUUUGUUAUAAAAAUGAGGCG